rnacentral:rRNA from 1 species
CGGGUGCCUAGUGGCGAACGGGUGAGUAACGCGUGGGAAUCUGCCCUGGAGUGGGGAACAACAGUUGGAAACGACUGCUAAUACCGCAUACGCCCUGAGGGGGAAAGGCUUCGGCCGCUCUUGGAUGAUCCCGCGUCUGAUUAGCUUGUUGGUGGGGUAACGGCCUACCAAGGCGACGAUCAGUAGCUGGUCUGAGAGGAUGAUCAGCCACACUGGGACUGAGACACGGCCCAGACUCC